UACGGAGGGUGCGAGCGUUGUCCGGAAUCACUGGGCGUAAAGGGCGCGUAGGUGGCGCGAGGAGUCUGUGGUGAAAGCCCGAGGCUCAACUUCGGGUCGGCCGCGGAUACUCUCGUGCUGGAGGGUGGUAGAGGCCAAUGGAAUUCCGGGUGUAGCGGUGGAAUGCGUAGAGAUCCGGAAGAACACCGGUGGCGAAGGCGGUUGGCUGGGCCACACCUGACACUGAGGCGCGACAGCGUGGGGGGCAAACAGG
rnacentral:rRNA from 1 species